GACAGAGGUGCCAAGCGUUAGGCGGAAUCACUGGGCUUAAAGCGUGUGUAGGCGGAUCGUUAAGUACCUUGUGAAAUCCCACGGCUCAACCGUGGAACUGCUGGGUAUACUGGCGAUCUUGAGCCACCUAGGGGCGAGCGGAACAAGCGGUGGAGCGGUGAAAUGCGUAGAGAUCGGAAAGAACACCAACGGCGAAAGCACUCUGCUGGGCCGACACUGACACUGAGAGACGAAAGCUAGGGGAGCGAAUGGG
rnacentral:rRNA from 1 species